ensembl:lncRNA
CGUUCCAGCGCUUGGUGGCAGCGUUUUGCCAUCUGCAGGGUGAGGGAAGGGAUUCCUGCCUCGUUCAGGUGCAAAAGGCUGCCUGCUGAAUCGCCUCCGAAUGAUGGCGAGAGUUUGAGAGCACAGCUGUGACUUUACGUCUGAGAACGAUGCCGUCGCUGUGGUGUUGCUUUCAGAGCACACCCAGUUCUUUCUCAAUAGGCAAUAAUGACUCCGGGCAGCUCAUUUAAGGCAGACGCUGCCCGCCCGCAUCGUUCCGCUCUGCACGAGCCGAAGCCACGCAAAGCAACACCCGUGCGGGCUGCGGCCGGCGGGGCUGGGAUCGGAGACGGCCCCAAUGACUCACAGGGCUGCAUGGGAAUGGAUGAAAGCAGCAGCACGCGUUGGAAGGGAGCGGUCGGCGGGGAGCGGAGCUGCUUGCCAAGUGCUCUGAGUCAGAGCGUGGGCCGGCGUAGGAGGCUGCAUCUGGGGGUGUCGGACUGAGACAGACGCGCAGAGAUGGCUGCAAUUAAGCAUGGAGCGACAUGGCUGCGGGAGUAACGCGCGUUUAAAGUGAUCACCCUGUCUGCUGUGCUGCUGGGGCGGGUGGCUGCUGGGUGCCUUUGGAGCCCACCAUACCAGGGGAGUUCAAGGGGAGCCUUGGAGUUGUCUGCUGCCUGCGUCCCCUGCAGCAGUGGUUUUUCUGAGCCUUGGAAGGACUCUGCUGAGGGGCUUGAAGGAUCCAGCAAGGAGCCAUAGCAAAGAACGGCGCUCUCUAGCCAUCCUUCCUGGUGUCAGGCAAGCUCUAUUGCUCUUCAAGCCUGUGUUGGCACUUGCGGAGUUUCUGUAGGCUUGGGCUCACCUUGCCUUGGUACUCUCUGAGCUUUCUCUGCUCAUUCCCUAGGCUUUCCAUCAACUUCUCUAGAGGUUUUCAAGCAUCUGUGUCCGUUGGAACAACAGGAGGUGCUGAAGAACUGCAGAGCAGUGCAAGGCCUCUGCUGUGGAUCUUGGUGCUGACAUUGCCAUUGCAACUGGCUUGGUGCUCCUCCUCUUUUGGAUCCCUUUUUGCCCUCCUCUCCUCUAUGCUCAUUUGCUCUCCUCUCUUGGGUCCCCUUUUGCCCUGCUCUCCCCUGUGCCUUUUUGUCGUCUUCACUGCCUUUUGAAUUUUAUUUCCCUGACCACCUGUUGGCCCUUUCCUGACCCCCUUUACCUUGCAUCACCCCUUUGCCUUUAUUUUUUUUCCAUCUUUUUCUAUUUAUUUUUCAUUUUCUGUAUCUUUUCUUACUCUUCCCAUUUCCCAGCCCAUUUCAUUUGCUUCUUUUUCCCUUUCAGGUCCCACCCACCUGCCCCCCCCCCCUCCCCCCCUUUUUUAAGUAUUCUUUUCCUUUGAUUUUUCUUACUCUAAUUUUAAUUUUUUUCCUUUUCUGUUUCUCUUAAAUAUUUGUUUCCUUGCUGGCCCAACGGGAACUGUUAGGUGUGGGCCUGAAGCAGUGAUGGAGCACCUGGUGGGAGUGUGGACAGCCCAGGGAGCACAGGUGGAAGCAAUUCUUCUGUGGAGUGAGAUGGGGUGGAGCCAGGCUGCAUCCCCCUCUGAGCUCAUGGAAGGGCUGGCAGUCACAGGGGAAGGAUCUGUGCCUGGAUGCUGCCAUUUGUGUUGUGUUGGGCGAGUCCUGAGCCUUGGGAAGGGUUGAGGAGUUGUUUGUUUGCUCAUUCAUGAUUGUCUCUGUGUGUUUUUGUUCGGGAGGUGGUUGCAGAUGCCAGGAGUUUUCCUGAGUGGUGCAAGGACUCUACUGAGGAUCUUAGUGGACCCAGCGAGGAACCAAAGCAAAGGAUGGACCCCAAUAUCCUUGCUGCAUGACGGCAGGCUGGAAAUGUACACCUGAUGGGAUCUAUGAUGACCCAAAUGCAGUCUAGGAAGGUUUGACCAAGUGUGGUGGGAAAGGAAGAGGAUUGGGGAUGUCAGCACCAGAUGCCGUUGCACUUUGUGACCUACCCGCCUUGCGUCUUUGAUGUGCCCAGAUCAUUGGAAAGGGGUCUGCACAGACUGCAGCAGUUGCUCAAGCAUUUUCCACUGCAGGAGCUCACAAGCGACAACUCCAACCCUGACCCAUACAGAUCACAACCUGAAGCAGUGAUGGAGCACCUGGUGAGGGGUGUAGACCUAUGAGCACAGGUGGAAGCAAUGCACCUGUGGGACCAGACGGGGCUGAGCCUGUCUCCACCCCUCCCUAACCUCAUUUAAGGGCUGGCAGCCCCAGAGGCAUUGUCUUUUUCUGGAGGCUGUGGAUUGCUCGUCCUUGGAAAGAGCUCCUCUUUAGGUAUUGAAAGGCUGUUACCAGGUCACCUCAGAGCCUUCACUUCUGCAGGCUGAGCAGCCCCAGCUCUCUCAGCCUGUCCUUGUAGGAGAGGUGUUCAGUCCCUUAGUUCACUUUUUUUUGUGGCCAUCUUCUGGAUGUGCUCCAACAGGUCCAUGUCUCUUCUGCACUGAGGACUCUACAUCUGGAUGCAGUAGUUCAGCUUGGUGUCAGCAAACUUUCUGAGGGUGCACUUGACCCCAGUGAUGAUGUCGCUGAUGAAGAUAUUGAAGAGUAUCAGCCUCAGCAUGGACCCCUCUGGGACAACACUCAUCACCAAUCGCCAUCCAGACAUGGAGCCAUUGACCACUGCUCUCUGGACCCAAUCCUGUAUCCGGUUCAUUGUCCAUUCAACAGUCCACCCGUCAAAUCUGUAUCCUUCCCAUUUGAAGAGAAGGAUGCUGUGGGAUAUUGUGUCAAAGGCCUUACUGAGGUCCAGGUAGAUGGUAUCAGUGGCUCUUUACUUGUCUAUUGAUGCAGUGGCACCAUCAUAGACAGCCACCAGGUUGGUAAAGCAGGAUUUACCCUCGGUGAAGCCGUGCUGGUUCUCCUGUAUCACCUUCCCUGUCUUUCUUGUUCCUUAGUGCAACUUCCAGGAGGAUCUGCUCUGUGCUCUUUCCCAGCACAGAGGUGAGACUGUUAUGUUGGUAAUUCCCAGGGUCAUCCUUUCUUCCCUUAUUAGAAAAAAGGUGUGAUGCUGUGUUUUUUCCAGUCACUCAGGGAGGAACUAUUUUUGAUCUAAUGCAAUGGUUUCCUAAAAUUCAGUCCAAUUGAAAUUCUCUGCUGUCUAGUUACAAGGACUUCCAGCAGAUUGCAAGCUUGGGCUUUACAGGUCAGCGGUGGAGCCAACAGGGAGGCCUCUGGAUUUUUGAAGAAGACUGAGAAGGCUGAGAAUCAGGUGCUUUGUUUGACAUUUCUACUGGCUGUCUUACUUCAGGAUUCUGUCUGUCUGUAGGCAUGUUUGUUUGGAUUAGCUGGAGCUUAGGAGCUUGACUUCAGCUAUACUUCAGUUCUUUAUGACACAGACCUGUGCCACUUGCUGCCUAGACCAAUUACACAUAUUGUUGGAGAUCCCUCCGUGCAUUGUAAUUUUUUUUUCUUAAGUGUGGGGAUGAUAUCUGCCUUCAAACAGAUAAUGUCUAAAAGAAAUUUAUUUUUCUUUAUUUUUCUUUUAUUUCUCUUGGAGCAGUUGUUCAGGGAAGUGUGGAUACUUUCUUCUCUGCCACUGUGUUUCCCAUAGAGGUAUUCUAGGAAUGGCUUCUGUCACUGAUUGCUUGCUUAUUUUCAGUACUGAAAGAAACAUACUGUUUUUGUUGUUGUUGUUGUUGUUGUUUUUGUUUUGUUUUUGUUUUUUUGCCUACGUAGAACUCCCUUUAUUUCCACUGUAGUUUUAAGUUGUGCUUUGGAACAGAAUGUACAGCUGGAUCUAGAGUAGUUGCCAAAGAGGUGCGGGCAGACAGUGCUGGAUUUCCCAGACAGAGGUCAUAAAGUUCCUUGUGGAGAGCUUUUGGGACCCGGAGCACUGGCUCCGGGAGAGGGGCCAUGAUGGGAUGCAGCUGGUAAGGAGAUAGGGCCCUGCUCAUUAAACCAGGCAAGGUUGUGCUGCCCUCACUCAGGAGCAAGGAAGUGAUAAGAACAUGCUGCAGUUAAGAAAAUUGAGUGGUAUGCAGUAAACAAUCGGGCAUUCAUCACGGGACUGUCACGGUAUCUAGCGUUGAAGGUUACUUUCUCACGUAAAGAACUAACCAAUAAGAGAACCCAAUUUGGCAUAUGUAGUAGCUCAUUAACUAUCGUAUAAAUGCCUGCGUGUGCUUCAAUAAAGCUGAGACUUGUUGAUCAUGAAAGCAUGAGACUUGUCUCCCGCUGAUUUCCUACAAAUGGUGACCCCGACGUGAUCCAGUAACGGCGCACCACGGUGGGACGGCGAAGGAGUUCGGGUCCUAAAGCAGCGAGGACGGCUAAAGCACUCGGGAACCAGAGAGAGGAGUGCCGAGCCCUAGGUGACCUCAUCGGAGAGCCUGGCCGAUACGGGCCGCCGAGACCUUGUAAGGCUGCAAUAGCGCGCGCUGACAGAUAAGGGAUGGAAAGGCAAGCGGCUUAUGAUUUAUUUACUUGUUUUCUGAGAAAACGACAAAUUAAGGGAGUAGACUUACAGAAGGAACUCCCCGGGUUAUUAGCUUAUGGUUAUGCUAAAGGGUUUUUUCAAGACCCACAUUUAGUACAUGAUCUUACAGAAUGGCGUAAAUUUGGGGAUGCAAUUUGGCAAGCGGUGUUAGAUGAUGAUAAAACAGCAAAAAAAUGCGGGAAACUGUGGAGAGCAGUUCACAAUGAACUGUUGCAGCACCAAGCAGAAAAGAAGGCAGCGGAACAGGCCGGUGCUGCACAGGGGAGAAAUAAGGAUUACAAUGGGUGGCCAGAUUGUCCGUUGCCCCCUGCAGUGACUACCUUAGUGUUGCUGCCGGCCGCGGAGCACACCACGUCAGCAUGUUCGGAGCCAAGCGCCCCACCCCCGCCCCUAGUUACGGCCGCGCCGGGUAGUUCACCUGCGCCUAUUACAAUGGGCCCAAUAAACCCUCCGAGCAGUGAGCCGAUCCCUGGGGCAGAGAGUGACCUAGCGGGGGCCAUUGCACAGGAGAGGCGGAAAGCUUGGGCAGCGCUGGCACGGGCCUGCAUGGAGGCGGGGGAUAACGAUGCAGUGGAGGCCGUGCGGCACAUGGCGUUUCCGGUGAUAUAUGCCUCUAAUCCUGCGGGAGGGAUGCAGGCCACCAUCACAGCUUUAGAUUGGAAAUUAUUAUCGCAGCUACGAUCUACAGUUAGUCAGUUUGGGGUAAAAAGCGAGCCAGCUAAGCAGAUAUUGGAUUAUAUUUGGAGUACGCAGAUAUUGCUGCCAUCCGAUUGUCGGGCAAUAGCAAAAUUGAUCCUUUCACAACAUCAAUAGCUGUUGUUUAAUGCAUAUUGGCAAGAACUGUGCCAUCAGAGUGUCUCAAAGGCUAGGCAGCCGGGAGACCCACUACAUGGUGUAACUAUCGAAGAACUCUUAGGGCUAGGGCCUUUUUUCAGAACACACGCCCAAGCAUUAUUAGGGCCAGAUAAAUGUCGAGAAACGAUGUAUUUAGCUAGACAGGCCACGGACAAGAUUAAGGUGCCUGAUAGAUUGCCAUUUUAUAUGGGGAUCCGACAAGGUAGGGAUGAGGACUUUGGGGCAUUCAUAGAUAAGGUAGCCGGGGCUAUUGAAAAGGCAGGGGUGCCAGAGUAUAUGAGAGGAGUGAUGUUAAAACAAUGCGCGCUCCAAAAUUGUAAUUCAACAGCACGUAGUAUUCUGAGUACUUUGAGGAGUAAUUGGACUAUUGAGGAGGCACUAGAAAAGCUAUCAAGCGUGCCGGUCGGGCCCCAAGCAUUUCUGGUUGAGGCUAUUAAGGAGUUAGGGGCAGGCUUAAAGGCACAGGCUGAGGCCUCUCACAAUCAAGUGCUAGCAGCUCUUGCAUCCUUACAAGCGUCUGUGAUAACAAAUUUAGGCCCGAGAUCGCCUGUUGCUGGUCGCAUCAAAUGCUAUCGCUGUGGCGGCAUGGGACAUAUGCGUCGUCAGUGUCAAGCCACCGGUUCAUGGUGUCACACAUGUCGUAUGGACAACCACAAUACCAAUGCCUGUCGACGCUGGUCGGGAAACACCCAGCCCAGCGCGAGAAAGAAACGACAGCUGCGCGCAGACACAAGUAGCCGUUUCCAGCCAGCAGCAGACCUGCAACCAGCCACACCAGGAAGCCUCGGCUUGGACUUGGCAGCCGCAGUGACCACGACCUUAAUGACCACAAAACCUGAGCGGGUGUCUACAGGGAU